UCUUAUUGCUACAUGUAGUUUAGGAGUUGUAUUGGCAUGUGUUUGGUGCCCGUUAUAGAAACAAGCAGCUAUUAAACUUUGUUAAAAAUGAGCUUUAAGGUGGAGAAUAUUGCUAGGUUCCUGUAUUUCAUGGACCCCAGCAGCGGAUCCUGUUCACUAGCAUGAAUGUUAUCCAUAGUCUUUCAACAAGCUCUUGCAAGCUGGACUCAGCAAGCAGAUGCUCUAGAACCUUCUGAAAAGCAUUAAAAGGCCCCAGUCCAUCAAGUUAGACAACCUUUUCUCCUCAAUCACCCUGAACACCAGCAUGCCACAAGUCUGUGUGCUGAGCCUGCUUCUGUACUCCCUGUUCACCCAUGACUGUGCUACUGCUUAUGGCUUCAACUCCAAAAUCAAGUUCACAGAUGACACCAUGGUGAUAGGCCUGAUCGAAGACAAUGAGACUGCCUAUAGGGAUGAGGUUCAGCACUUGCCCAGGUGGUGUGCAACAAAUAACUUGGAACUUCUCAAGAAGACGAAAGAUCAUUGUGGACUUCAGGCGGACUGGAAGCCAGGCCCCAUCAAUGGACCUGUGGUGGAGCGUGUGCCUGGUUUCAACUUCCUUCGCAUCCACAUCUCCCAUGAUCUCACCUGGUCCCUUAACACCUCCACCAUAGUCAAAAAGGCACAGCAGCACCUUUACUUUCUAAGGAACCUCAAGAAGGCACACCUGUGUCCUAGGAUCCUGGUGGACUUCUAUUGCUGUACCAUUAUGAGCAUACUCACUAACUGCAUCUCAGUCUGGUAGAGCAACUGCUCUGCUUCUGACCGCAAAGCACUCCAGCAGGUAAUUAAAACUGCCCAACAAAUAACUGGCACCCAGCUACCCACCACUGAUGACAUCUACCACAAGCAUUACCUUGGCCAGGCAAAACACAUCAUUAAGGAUGCCUCCUACCCUAACAAUGGACUUUUCACCCUCCUCCCUGCUGGCAGGCGGUACAGAAGUCUACAUUCCUGCACAAGUAGGCUCAAGAAGAGCUUCUUCCCCCGAGGCUGUGACCCUGCUAAACUCAAACCCUCCACUCUAAAAUUCCACACCUUGUAUUAUACUGUACUGCUCAGUACUUUAUUGGACAGUUAUUAUUGGAUGGUUACUUGCACUAUUCAUAUUUGCAUUCUGAACCUCACUGUUUACCCAUGUUCUGUACAUAUCAUCCAAUUGUACAUAUGUUGAUGUUCAUACUGUACAUACCUCUCAUUUGCAAUCCCUUUCUAUUUUAAUAUAUUCACUGCUAAUGAAAUGCAGUUAGAUGCUAACUGCAUUUCAUUAGCUCUGUACUUGUACUCUGCUUAAUGACUAAAGUUGAAUCUAAUCUAGUCUCAUGUAUCACCUAUCUAAUCAGGUAUCAUGUUAUGUGUCACAGUUGUGGCUUAGGCUCUGGGUUACUGAUCGGAAGGUCAGGGUUUCAAGCCCUAGCACUGCCAAGCUGCUAUGGUUGGGCCCUUGAGCAAGGCCCUUAACCCUCUCUGCUCCAGGGGCACUAUCAUGGCUGACCCUGUGCUCUGACCCCAACUUCCUAACAUGCCGGGCUAUGCGAAGAAAAGAAUUUCACUGUGCAUACGUAUGUGAUCAAUAAAGACUCAUGUGUCUAGUGUCAUGUA